AAUAUAGGCAUCAUAAACAAUAUGGAGUAUACAAUUAAGUAAUAAAAGGGAUUCGUAAGGAUACCUAGCAGAUAUAUUUAAAAGGAUAUAUUUAUAAAAAGUUGAAGUGAAUAAUUUGAAUACUUUAACAAUCCUAAGGAAAACCAAUAUAAUAAAAUACGUUGGGAAUUAAAACAUUUAAGUACCAAUAGGAAAGGAAAUCAAACGAGACUUCUGGAGUAAUGGUGAGUGAAACAGAAUGAGCCUUAUUCUUUUGUCUAUUCUGUUCCAAUGGACUCAUUAAUAUUGUGGAAUUCAAUAUUAUGCUGUGUAUAUUCACAGUUACCAAAGACGGUGAUAGUCCGGUGAUAGUUUUUUAGUCCAAUGAAUAGACGAGGAAUUAAAUAAAGUAAUAUGGAGACGGCUGCUCUGUAUGAAUUUAUAAUAUCUAAGAAAUUAGAUAAUGGGAUACCAUUCUCAAAGGCUAAGUAUAAUAUAUCUAGCGAUAGUGAAGAGUAACGUGAGUGAAAGGUGAAAAGUAAGUGUAUGACUAGUGAAAGAGAUCUUGAAUUACGAAUCCUACAAGCAGUUAGAGUCUAAUAGAAUUAGAUGAUAACGUACCUUUUGCAUAAUGGGUCAGCAAGUUAAUUUUCAAUGCAAGACUAAUAAGUCCUAGUGAAAACGUCUAUGUUUUCUUUAUUUAAAGAUAAAGAAUAUAUGGGUAGAGUAUUGAGAAUUAGAUCCGAAACCAGAUGAUCUUUUUAUGACCAGGUUUAAAAGGACCGAACGUAUGAAUGUUGCAGUAUUCUGCGAUGAGUUGUGAAAAGGGGUGAAAUGCCAAUCUAAUCUGGUGAUAGCUGAUAUUCUGCGAAAUCUAUUUUAGUAGAAAGUAUAUGUAGAUAUAUUUCUGUAUAGCACUGAUUUCCAUUUCUCGUAACCUAUUAGGUUGCACAUAGAAUAAAUUAGGGGGUUAUAAACUCUACUAUUGGAAGUUAACCUCAGAAGGAGAUACUAUCGGUCAUAUACUGACAGUCUAUUUGUGAUAAGGUAAAUAGACAAAAGGGAAACAGCCCAGAUCAUAUAUUAAGGUGCCCUAAAUAAUAUUAAGUGAAAAUAAGAGAGUUUUGUGUUCAAGACAGCUAUGAAGUAAGCUUGGAAGUAGCUAUCUUUUAAUGAAAGUGUAACAACUCAAUAGUCGAUUUUCUGGACACAAAGCAUCGAAGAUUUAUCGGGUCUAGAUAUUAAACCUAAAUUAUGAUAUUAAUGAAUUAAUUAGAUUACUAUUUAAUUCUUAAUAAGGUAGCAGAACACUUAGUAGUUAGGUUGAAGAAUAUUCCUAAGAAUAUUUGGACUCUACUAAAGAGAGAAUGCUGGCAUGAGUAACGAUUAAGAAGUUAUAAUACUUCUCGCCGAAUACGAAAGGUUUUCAUGAAAAAGGUAAUCUGUCAUGAUUUAAACGGAUUCUAAGGUGUAAUAUACGAAUUGUUGUUACCCGAUGAAAUAGAAGAAUACUAUUCCUGAAAUCUAAGUAAGGAACAAGAAAAAUAUUCUUUUAAUUUAAUUAUAUCCGUACCUUAAACCGACACAGGUUCGUAGGUAGAGUAUACUAAGGCGUAGAGAUAAGGCUAGUGAAGGAACUCGGCAAAAUGCUUCCGUAAGUUCGACGAUAAGGAAGGAGUGUAUAUAUAUCAUAUACACUUAGCAUAAAAGUGGGGGCUUCGACUGUUUACUAAAAACACAGCAACUUGCUAAGACUAGAAGUACUUGUAUAAGUUGUGAACUCUGUCCAAUGCCAAUCCGUGUAAGGGAGGUGAUUUUAGCGUUAGCUAAUUGUCACUAACUGAUGCGGUGGUCAAUGACGGUCUUAACCAUAAGGAUCUGAAAGUAGCGAAAUUCCUUGGCCAUUAAAUGUGGUCCUGCAUGAAUGAGGUAACGCGGCCCUGCUGUCUCCACUAGCUCCUCAGUGAAAUUGAAUUAGCCGUGCAGAUGCGGUUUGCCUUCCGGAGGACGCGAAGACCCUAUGCAGCUUUACUGUAAUUUGAUAUUGUUUUUGAUUAGAUCUAGUGUAGAAUACAAGGGAGUGUAAACGCCAGUGAAAUACCUUGAUAGAUCUUAAUUAGAAACUAAUUUAUCGUGCGUACCUUUUUCUAAGGAAAAAGGAGAUAAAAACAGUAUCAGAGGGUCAGUUUUACUGGGGCGGUAGCCUCUAAGAAAGUAUCAGAGGCCUUCAAAGGUAUAUUUAUAUUGGUCAGAAACCAAUGAGCAUCUAUACGCUCAUCAAAGUGUAAUGAUAAAAUAUGCUUGACUGAAAGACUGAUAGGUCGAUCAGCUACGCAAGUAGGACAUAGUGAUCCGGUGAUUCAUAAUGGAAUGAUCAUCGCUCAAGAAAUAAAAGUUACGCUAGGGAUAACAGGUUUAUCGUUUGCAAGAGUUCAUAUUGUCCAAACGGUUUGACACCUCGAUGUCGACUCAUCUCAUCCUCCAGGUGUAGUAGCUUGGAAGGGUUCAGCUGUUCGCUGAAUAAAGAGGUACGUGAGUUGG
rnacentral:rRNA from 1 species